rnacentral:rRNA from 1 species
AAGUCCCGCAACGAGCGCAACCCACGUCCUUAGUUGCCAUCAUUCAGUUGGGCACUCUAGGGAGACUGCCGGUGAUAAGCCGCGAGGAAGGUGUGGAUGACGUCAAGUCCUCAUGGCCCUUACGGGAUGGGCUACACACGUGCUACAAUGGCGGUGACAGAGGGACGCGAAACCGCGAGGUUGAGCAAAUCCCCAAAAGCCGUCUCAGUUCGGAUUGCACUCUGCAACUCGGGUGCAUGAAGGCGGAAUCGCUAGUAAUCGUGGAUCAGCACGCCACGGUGAAUACGUUCCCGGGCCUUGUACACACCGCCCGUCA